rnacentral:rRNA from 1 species
AACAAACGCUGGCGGCGUGCCUAUCACAUGCAAGUCGUACGAGAAAGGGUCCUUCGGGGCCUGAGUAAAGUGGCGCACGGGUGAGUAACGCGUGGAUAAUCUGCCCUUCAGUUGGGAAUAACUCAUCGAAAGGUGGGCUAAUACCGAAUAAUGCUGUGAGACCUCGGUUGAUCAGCCAAAGAGAGCCUCUGCUUGCAAGCCCUCGCUGAAGGAUGAGUCCGCGUACCAUUAGCUAGUUGGUAGGGUAAUGGCCUACCAAGGCGACGAUGGUUAGCUGGGCUGAGAGUAGAAUCAGCCACACUGGAACUGAGACACGGUCCAGACUCCGACGGGAGGCAGCAGUGAGGAAUCUUGCGCAAUGGGGGCAACCCUGACGCGGCAACGCCGCGUGAGUGAGGAAGGUCUUCGGAUCGUAAAGCUCUGUCGGAUGGAAAGAACCGCAUAGGGGUAAACAGCCCCUGUGUCUGACGGUACCAUCAAAGGAAGCACCGGCUAACUCCGUGCCAGCCGCCGCCGUAAAAC